CAGCCGUAAACUAUGCGCGUUAGGUGUGCUGGUGACCACGUGUCACCGGGGUGCCGAAGGGAAACCGUGAAACGUGCCGCCUGGGAAGUACGGUCGCAAGGCUGAAACUUAAAGGAAUUGGCGGGGGGAGCACCACAACGGGUGGAGCCUGCGGUUUAAUUGGACUCAACGCCGGAAAUCUCACCGGAUAGGACAGACAAAUAGAUAGUCGGGCUGAAGACUCUACUUGAUGAUCUGAGAGGAGGUGCAUGGCGUCAGUGACU
rnacentral:rRNA from 1 species